rnacentral:rRNA from 1 species
GAUGAACGCUGGCGGCGUGCCUAAUACAUGCAAGUCGAGCGAACAGACGAGGAGCUUGCUCCUCUGACGUUAGCGGCGGACGGGUGAGUAACACGUGGAUAACCUACCUAUAAGACUGGGAUAACUUCGGGAAACCGGAGCUAAUACCGGAUAAUAUAUUGAACCGCAUGGUUCAAUAGUGAAAGACGGUUUUGCUGUCACUUAUAGAUGGAUCCGCGCCGCAUUAGCUAGUUGGUAAGGUAACGGCUUACCAAGGCAACGAUGCGUAGACGACCUGAGAGGGUGAUCGGCCACACUGGAACUGAGACACGGUCCAGACUCCUACGGGAGGCAGCAGUAGGGAAUCUUCCGCAAUGGGCGAAAGCCUGACGGAGCAACGCCGCGUGAGUGAUGAAGGUCUUCGGAUCGUAAAACUCUGUUAUUAGGGAAGAACAAAUGUGUAAGUAACUAUGCACGUCUUGACGGUACCUAAUCAGAAAGCCACGGCUAACUACAUG